ensembl:lncRNA
AGAAGUGCAACUUGAAUUACCAGCCAGCAUCAGCUCCAGCAAUCUGCUCCUGACAGAAGCUAGUGCUGGAGAAAAAAAAUCAAGAAAUUACCUUACUGGCAACAAAGAAAUGUCAGGUUUAAAAGAAAACUGUUACACAGAGAAAUCACUUAAACUGUGAGGAAAUUGAUAAAAGAAAAAUGCCUACUGAGGAAGAACGAGGACCUUAUAAUGUGACAUGCUCAGAAAGUCACUUACAUGACUUCUGAUGUACAUUUGUCCCAGUUGAACAGAACAAGGCUCUUUCUUCAAACAAGGAGCAAAAAAGCUACAUUGCACUGAUUGGAAAAAACAAAUCUUAUUUUCCAUGUCUGUGCCCUGAACAAAAAAAGAAGUAGAUGAAAGGAUGGUGUUGUAACAGAUCAGGCUUCAUACCACAUCAGAGUUUAUCAAGAAAAUGACAUACAGACAUAAUAGUUGCAGGAUAGCAACUCAUAGGUCAAGAAAAAACAGAAAGUAUCAAGGCUAUGCAAUUACUGAAUGGUAAGCUCACCUAUAUCACUAAACACCUGCCAAGAAGAAUAUUGCAAAAAAAUCUCAAGACAUACAAGCUGGGCUGAAGAAGCAAUAGUUCCAGAAGGAGUGGAUUUGAAUGGUCAUUAUUGUUUUCAAGUUGGAAGGAACCCAUGUGGAUCUUUAUCAAACAGCUCUGUAACUGAAAGAAACAUAAAUACUGGAGAUGUAAAAAAAAAAAAAAAAGCAUAAUUUAAAAAAAUAAAUAAUCAGUAAGUGAAUCAAAACAGACUGUCAGAAAUGGAUGGGCAACUUCCACAGUUGUAUUGAAUUCGCUAUGCAGUUACCUUGUUUUUAAAGAAACAUUUCCUAGGUUCAGCCUUCUUGGGAUGCUGUAAACACCUGAGGUAAUUCAGUGGUUUGCAUAUAUCAAGGGACAAGUUUCACUUCCGUGGAAUUUAAGAGGGAAACUCCCAUUAACACACAGAAAAUUACAAAUGAAAUUUCAAGAAAGCUUAUAAAUCCAGUGGGUCAAUUUAGGUGCAUUUGUUCCCCCCAGACAAGAAGCAAAACUUUGAGGACAACUUUCCCACAUGCUCCCAACAUAGGAAUUAUCCAGAAGUGGUGAGUUAAUCAUAAAGCAAUUGGAUACUUUCACACAGUUUCUUAAUGUAUUUGAUCCACUAAGUUUCCCAAUCAAUUUCUUUUAGCACCUGAAAUGCAUAUAGUUCAUCUACCACUUAGAAAAUACAAAGGUUUUAGGAACUUUUUCAAACAUAUACUUUGGUAUUUAUACCAAGAAGUCAAAAGGAGCAGAGAGAACUUCUCCAGGUUGUGUUAAGAGAGCUAGCUGCCUUUGUAGCGUUAACAGUGGUAACUCAUAUACAGAAAAUGUAUUUGUGUCCAGUGGCAUUUCUAUAUAUCAAUAUUCAUUCAGAAGAAAGAAUACAAACAAAAAGCUGCACUCAGGAGAAGGAUUGAUGAGAGCCUGUAUAUAGUUACGUUAACUUCUAUAUCCUGGAACAGAUCUAAGCAUUUCAACGUCCUCAGUAUUCCUGUUGGUAACUGAGAAAGUUCUCUGCAAGUGAGAUAGAGAAUCCGACUGUUAGGUGCCUAGUUAGCUAGAAUGCCUCCCCAGAGCACUACAUAAUUAAGGGAGGAAAAGAGAGGCUGCAAUUCAUGAUCCUCACUUUCUUUGGCUACCACAUUGCUAAGUGGAGUUUAGGGUACCUAAUGCCGUGAAAUACCUGGCUUUCAAAGUGUCAAUUCCCUGAAUAAAUCAGUCUGAAAGAGAGCAUGUAACCAAUGUCACCUCCAAAUUACACUCUAAAUAUCCAGUUAAAUGAUCAAUUAAGUAAUGUUCCACAUUAAGGAACAGAAAGGAAGGGGCACAACAAUAAAUUUCACAAAUACAGGAAGUGGUGCCUGGGAAGGAUUGCCCACAUUAAAAAUUUACCAUCUAAUCCUCUGUCUGCUUGCCUCCCCUGACCAUGGCUGUUUUAUGGUUCAGUGUUUGGAAUACCAACAAGAAAAUCUUCAAAUUUCUAUUGCAGACCAUAACAACUUGGUUAUUUCUGAGGCACAUAAUGUUCAUUUACGUCUAUCAUUUCCAAUUCUCAUGCUACGAUUCACGCGCAUUCCCUUUUCUUUUUGAUAAUAGUAAGAAUAAAGACUUGCAUCUGAAAAGCUGUUCUGAAAGGCAGGCAACAAAUAGUAGAGGAUUCCCAAGCUGGACAGAAAGCAGAAUUUACUCAAGACACAGAUGUAACAACACCAGAUGUGUAGGUGUCUGGUCUAGUAUUAGAUAUGGAGGCUGGCAGCCCUGCCUGUGGCAGGAGGGAUGGAGCUUGAUGAUCCUUGAGGUCCCUCCCAACCCAAGCCAUUCUGUGAUUCUAUGAUCCAUCUUCAUAUUUUGUUUUUGAAGUUCUGAGCAAUAAAAGUUGUUUGU